GCUUGCAAACCCAAAUUUCAUGUCCGAAGUGGUUGCAGCUGUGGCUGACAUGGGGGGGCAACUGUUGACGAGGCCGCAAGAAGAAUGAUGACCUUCCUCCUAGACCAUGGCCUAGCCAGGCAGUAUAACUUUGAGGCUUGAAGAAAAACUCCUUGACAAGUCACAUCACUCGUA